rnacentral:rRNA from 1 species
CAGCAGCCACGGUAAUACGAAGGGGGCUAGCGUUGCUCGGAAUGACUGGGCGUAAAGGGCGCGUAGGCGGUUUAUACAGUCAGAUGUGAAAUUCCUGGGCUCAACCUGGGGACUGCAUUUGAUACGUAUGGACUUGAGUGGAGAAGAGGGUUGUGGAAUUUCCAGUGUAGAGGUGAAAUUCGUAGAUAUUCGGAAGAACACCAGUGGCGAAGGCGGCUCACUGGACGACUGUUGACGCUGAGGUGCGAAAGCGUGGGGAGCAAACAGGAUUAGAUACCCCAGUAGUCCCUGUCUCUUAUAC